GUCCACGCAGUAAACGAUGAUUACUAGGAGUUUGCGAUACAAUGUAAGCUCUACAGCGAAAGCGUUAAGUAAUCCACCUGGGGAGUACGCCGGCAACGGUGAAACUCAAAGGAAUUGACGGGGGCCCCGCACAAGCGGAGGAACAUGUGGUUUAAUUCGAUGAUACGCGAGGAACCUUACCCGGGUUUGAACGUAGUCUGACCGGAGUGGAAACACUCUUUCUAGCAAUAGCAGAUUACGAGGUGCUGCAUGGUUGUCGU
rnacentral:rRNA from 1 species